UCGGGGUGCAGGGUGGGUACCCAAACCCCCCCCUCCCUGCCCCCAGGUGAGCCUGUACGCCGACCCGCCACGGCCCAGCCGCAGCCUCGCCGUGGGCACCGUGGGCACCGGCUGCCGGGUGACGGCCCUCAGCAUCCCGCAGGCCAGGACGGCGGCUUUCGGCACGACCCCGGCCCCGGCCCCGCCGGCCUCGCCGGGUGGUGGAGCUCCAGCACCGGGACCGUCAGACCGGGAGGGAUCGCCCCAACCUCCUUCCCCCCCUCCACCCGGGGGGGGCUGCCCAGCCUGCCCGGGGCCGUGCCGCUGCCCGGGCACCCAGCUGACGAGGACGCUGGCGGGACAGACCCACAAGCUGCAGGCCCAGGCAAGCUCCGGGGGGGGGGGCGGCUGCAGCGGGGAGAGGGGGCUGCAGCGGGGCUGGGCUCAGCCCUUUCUCCCCCGGGCAGGUGGAAUCCUUCGAAGGCCGGAUCCGGGCUGGGAGCCCCGCGCCCCAGGAGCAGCUCCAGAGGUUUAGGAAGCUGAGGGAUGCGCAGGAUGCGCUGGAGCGGGCGUACCUGCGAGCCCGGCAGCAGCACCCAGGGGCCUCGGGGGAGUUCGAUCCCGACCGGUAAGCGCUUGACCCCCACCGCCCUCU
rnacentral:lncRNA from 1 species